CUGUACUUCAUGGUUUGAAGAAUAGCUGGGUGCAGGAGGAAAUGACUCCACUGUAGUUGCACACCAGUUACCAUUGACUUGAGCAUGGACCAAGUUACAAAGGUGCAAACCAAAACCGAUAAUAUCAACUUUUAAGGUUUCUCCAUUCUUCUCACCAGGAACACCAUUCCACCCUAGAGGGAUAACUGAAGUGGCUAUGCGAAUAACUGGCAAUUCUACAAUUUGAGCAAGCUUUACAGCACCUGCAACUGCAAGCCCAAGCCACUGUUGCAAAUGCACAAACUGAGGCACUUGCUCCAUUCCGGGAAAAGAUGAAGCAGCAUCACCCAUGCACAUGUCAUAGAUUCUCUGAAAUCGAAACCGAUAAGAUCUCAUUGAAUGUGAUUGAAAUCGUUCCCUUAGUUCAGCAAUCACAGAUCUGACCGAUGUUAAUUUUGAGUACUCUGCACCAGAUAGUAAUUCCACUGAAGAAUUUCCCAAUAGAUACAGCUGACCAAAUGGGACAUAUGAAGGUAAAUAAGGUACCCUACGCCAGUUUCUUCUAUCUCCACUUCUAUCAUUUCCUUUUUCGCCUACUUUUCCAGUCAUUGAUUCCUCUGGUGGCCCAUUAUUAGUGUCAGAUAAUGGUUUAAGAGAUAUGCCAUCAGAACCCUCUUGGAUUUCGAGAGACUGAGGUGCAACUACAUCCUCAAUUGUAGAUGUUACACCAGAAUUAGUUGUCACUGAUGUCCCUAUGGGACCAACUUGUUUUCCUGUGUACUUAUUGAAUUGCCUUCUAAUUCCCUCCAAAGGAACAAGCCUCGAAAGUCU
rnacentral:misc_RNA from 1 species